UACGUAGGGUGCAAGCGUUAUCCGGAAUUAUUGGGCGUAAAGAGCUCGUAGGCGGUUCCGUAAGUCGGAUGUGAAAACUCAGGGCUCAACCCUGAGACGCCAUCUGAUACUGCGGUGACUAGAGUCCGGUAGGGGAGCAUGGAAUUCCUGGUGUAGCGGUGGAAUGCGCAGAUAUCAGGAGGAACACCAAUGGCGAAGGCAGUGCUCUGGGCCGGAACUGACGCUGAGGAGCGAAAGCAUGGGGAGCAAACAGG
rnacentral:rRNA from 1 species